rnacentral:rRNA from 1 species
GAUGAACGCUGGCGGCGUGCCUAAUACAUGCAAGUAGAACGCUGAAGCUUGGUGCUUGCACCGAGCGGAUGGGUUGCGAACGGGUGAGUAACGCGUAGGUAACCUGCCUCUUAGCGGGGGAUAACUAUUGGAAACGAUAGCUAAUACCGCAUAAAAGUCGAUAUCGCAUGAUAUUGAUUUGAAAGGUGCAAAUGCAUCACUAAGAGAUGGACCUGCGUUGUAUUAGCUAGUUGGUGAGGUAACGGCUCACCAAGGCGACGAUACAUAGCCGACCUGAGAGGGUGAUCGGCCACACUGGGACUGAGACACGGCCCAGACUCCUACGGGAGGCAGCAGUAGGGAAUCUUCGGCAAUGGGGGCAACCCUGACCGAGCAACGCCGCGUGAGUGAAGAAGGUUUUCGGAUCGUAAAGCUCUGUUGUAAGAGAAGAACGAGUGUGAGAGUGGAAAGUUCACGCUGUGACGGAUCUACCAGAAAGGAC